GUGGUCGCAGAGACACUUGCAUUAAGCUUCAUGACAUGGAGAACAAAUUGGGAUCAAGAGGUAUUUAAAGCUUCAUUGCGCCUCAAAAAAUGGUACUUAAAGUCUUCUGAGGAGAUUAAUCAAAAGUUUGACCAUGCUUGAAGAACAACUAUAAUUAAUUUCUACAAAUUAUUUGUACCAACUCCAACUCUUUCCAUGCUUACUAAUUACGAAAACGUGCAAUGAU